CGGAUAGAGCCAGCGAAGUCGCUCGUAUUCAGCCAAAGACUCGGGGCCGCCUGCUGUCGUGUUUCUAAUCGAGCACGGCGGUUGGUGGGCUCUGUUUCGAGGUGCAUUUGCGGGCGUUUGCGCCGAGACUUGCGGAGCAGCUUCUGGAACUGCGUCUAGAGGCUUCCCUCUGGGUUGUACCUGGACGUGGCUACAGAUGUUUGCCCUGCUCGUACCUGGGCCAGGCCUACGGUGUCGGGUCGCGUCGUUGUUGCCAGGCCAUGGUAUCGCAUGCGAUGCCUAGCCUGGUGGCUGCGGUUCGGCUUGCACUCCCCUGGCUCGCUCUCGGUGUAGAAGCUGGUCAUCUCUCCGACCCGUCUUGAAACACGGACCAAGGAGUUUAGCGUAUGCGCGAGCCAUUGGGUGCCAAACCCACAGGCACAAUGAAAGUAAAGGUCCAGUCGCUGGACUGACAUGUGAACGCCGCGGCUUCGGCCCUGGUGUGCAGCAUGGUCCCGUUGUAGUCGCUUGCGACGCAGCGGAGACAGAGCGUAUGCGCUGAG
rnacentral:rRNA from 1 species